rnacentral:rRNA from 1 species
AUUGAACGCUGGCGGCAGGCCUAACACAUGCAAGUCGAACGAGUGGCGGACGGGUGAGUAAUGUCUGGGAAACUGCCCGAUGGAGGGGGAUAACUACUGGAAACGGUAGCUAAUACCGCAUACCAUCGGAUGUGCCCAGAUGGGAUUAGCUAGUAGGUGGGGUAACGGCUCACCUAGGCGACGAACCCUAGCUGGUCUGAGAGGAUGACCAGCAAAACUGGAACGGGGCCACGGUCCAUACGCCAACGGGGGGCAGCAGGGGGGAACAUUGGAAAAUGGGCGAAAGCCUGAGGCAGCCAUGCGGCGUGUAUGAAGAAGGCCUCCGGGUUGUAAAGUACUUUAAGCGGGGAGGCGUUACCCGCAGAAGAAGCACCGGCUAACUCCGUGCCAGCAGCCGCGGUAAUAC